rnacentral:rRNA from 1 species
CGCUGACGAGUGGCGGACGGGUGAGUAAUGCAUAGGAAUCUGCCCAUUAGUGGGGGACAACUACCGGAAACGGUAGCUAAUACCGCAUACGCCCUACGGGGGAAAGCGGGGGAUCUUCGGACCUCGCGCUAUUGGAUGAGCCUAUGUCAGAUUAGCUAGUUGGUAGGGUAAAGGCCUACCAAGGCGACGAUCUGUAGCUGGUCUGAGAGGAUGAUCAGCCACACUGGGACUGAGACACGGCCCAGACUCC